rnacentral:tRNA from 1 species
GCGCGGGUUGCCGAGCCAGGCCAAAGGCGUGGCGCUUAGGACGCUAUCCCGUAGGGGUCCGCCGGUUCAAAUCCGGUCCCGCGCA